UACUCCUACGGGAGGCAGCAGUAAGGAAUAUUGGACAAUGGACGGAAGUCUGAUCCAGCCAUGCCGCGUGAAGGAAGACUGCGCUCAGCGUUGUAAACUUCUUUUGGAUGGGAAUAAUAAUGUCGACGCGAUCGGCACUUGAAGGUACCAUCAGAAUAAGCACCGGCUAACUCCGUGCCAGCAGCCGCGGUAAU
rnacentral:rRNA from 1 species